UAUCACAGUAAGAGAAGCCAAACUAACUAA
rnacentral:piRNA from 1 species